CAGGAGGAUCUUACUUCUAUGUUAUGUACAGUGUUGGUAUAAAACAUACCGAUAGGCUGUAGAAUAAAGCAUCAUCAAUCAUUUCUCAUUGUCUAUGGGUUUCACGCUUACUUUUUAGCAAGGUUUAGCUUUUAUUAGUAUUCAUCAUUAUGCAUGGAUGUAACUAACAGAGGCAAAAUGAGCGUUGUUGCAUUGUUCAUGCAUGAAUAGAUGGGAUUUAUGUUUCAUAUAUCAGUAGCCCAUGGCUUUAUUCCAUGACAAAGGGCUCCUAAAGUUUAUUGAUUGUAUGCCAGUUUUAGAGCUGUGCUUUACAGUGUUCCUCAUAAUAGGCAGUUCAUUACAUCCACAUGCUCCAAGCUGGAUAUUGGCUUCAAAGUUAACGUGGUUUAUUUUCUCUGUCGGUAAGGCGAUUAGAAAUGAACGGUUAGUUAAUCAUCAUUGCAUGAAAAUUGUUUAUUAAAAUGAAAGUGGUCUACAAUUCACUGUUGUGAAAAAAAAAAAA